AAAUUGAAGAGUUUGAUCAUGGCUCAGAUUGAACGCUGGCGGCAGGCCUAACACAUGCAAGUCGAACGGUAGCACAGAGAGCUUGCUCUCGGGUGACGAGUGGCGGACGGGUGAGUAAUGUCUGGGAAACUGCCCGAUGGAGGGGGAUAACUACUGGAAACGGUAGCUAAUACCGCAUAAUGUCGCAAGACCAAAGUGGGGGACCUUCGGGCCUCACACCAUCGGAUGUGCCCAGAUGGGAUUAGCUUGUUGGUGGGGUAACGGCUCACCAAGGCGACGAUCCCUAGCUGGUCUGAGAGGAUGACCAGCCACACUGGAACUGAGACACGGUCCAGACUCCUACGGGAGGCAGCAGUGGGGAAUAUUGCACAAUGGGCGCAAGCCUGAUGCAGCCAUGCCGCGUGUAUGAAGAAGGCCUUCGGGUUGUAAAGUACUUUCAGCGGGGAGGAAGGCGUUGUGGUUAAUAACCGCAGCGAUUGACGUUACCCGCAGAAGAAGCACCGGCUAACUCCGUGC
rnacentral:rRNA from 1 species